GAUGAACGCUGGCGGCGUGCUUAACACAUGCAAGUCGAACGGAAAGGCGCCUACUUUCAUCGUUUCUCGAUUGGCGAACGGGGGAGUAUCACGUGUGUAAUCUGCCCUUCACUUCGGGAGAAGCCUUGGAAACUGGGGCGAAUACCGGAGAUGACCUCAUUAUCGGUAUGGUUGUAUAGAGUUUUUCGGUUUGGGAUUGGCUCGCAGCUUAUCAGCUUCUUGGUUAGGUAUUGGCAUACCAAGGCGUAGACGGGUGGCCGGCAUGGGAGGGUGUACGGCGACCUUGGGCCUGAGAGACGGCGCAGACGCAUACGGGAGGCAGUAGUGGAGAAUAUUGCAGAAUGGGGGCAAGCGUGAUGUAGCGACGCUGGGUGGGGGAUGCCGGCCUUCGGGUUGUAAACUAAUGUCGAUAGGGACGAAGCGCAAGUGACGGUACCUGGAGAAGAAGCACCGGCUAACUACGUG
rnacentral:rRNA from 1 species